AAGAUAUUUUGGACGGUCACGAAAGUGGAGGUUAGGAUCUGCACUAAACAUUUCAAAUCAGUGAGAUUCUUAUUCCUCCACUUACUUGCCUGUUCUCUAUCUGCAUUC